rnacentral:rRNA from 1 species
UACGAAAGGGGGGCUAGCGUUGCUCGGAAUCACUGGGCGUAAAGGGUGCGUAGGCGGGUCUUUAAGUCAGGGGUGAAAUCCUGGAGCUCAACUCCAGAACUGCCUUUGAUACUGAAGAUCUUGAGUUUGGGAGAGGUGAGUGGAACUGCGAGUGUAGAGGUGAAAUUCGUAGAUAUUCGCAAGAACACCCGUAGCGAAGGCGGCACUCUGGGCCGGAACUA